rnacentral:rRNA from 1 species
GACAGAGGUGGCAAGCGUUGUUCGGAAUCACUGGGCUUAAAGGGCGCGUAGGCGGUAUGGCAAGUGUGGGGUGGAAUGCCACAGCUUAACUGUGGAACUGCCCUGCAGACUGCUGUACUUGAGUCAGCGAGGGGAAGGCGGAAUUCCUGGUGUAGCGGUGAAAUGCGUAGAUAUCAGGAGGAAGGCCUGUGGCGAAGGCGGCCUUCUGGCGCUAGACUGACGCUGAGGCGCGAAAGCGUGGGGAGCAAAC